rnacentral:rRNA from 1 species
UGGGGAAUAUUGCACAAUGGGCGCAAGCCUGAUGCAGCCAUGCCGCGUGUAUGAAGAAGGCCUUCGGGUUGUAACGUACUUUCAGUCGGGAGGAAGGUGGUAAGGUUAAUAACCUUAUCAAUUGACGUUACCGACAGAAGAAGCACCGGCUAACUCCGUGCCAGCAGCCGCGGUAAUACGGAGGGUGCAAGCGUUAAUCGGAAUUACUGGGCGUAAAGCGCCCGCAGGCGGUUGAUUGAGUCAGAUGUGAAAUCCCCGGGCUUAACCCGGGAAUUGCAUCUGAGACUGGUCAGCUAGAGGCUUGUAGAGGGGGGUAGAAUUCCAGGUGUAGCGGUGAAAUGCGUAGAGAUGUGGAGGAAUACCGGUGGCGAAGGCGGCCCCCUGGACAAAGACUGACGCUCAGGUGCGAAAGCGUGGGGAGCAAACAGG